rnacentral:rRNA from 1 species
GCUAACGUUGGCGGCGUGCCUAACACAUGCAAGUCGAACGCGCCGUAGCAAUACGGUGAGUGGCAGACGGGUGAGUAACACGUGGGUAAUCUCCCUCCGAGCGGGGAAUAAGCACUCGAAAGGGUGUCUAAUACCGCAUGACGCCCUGAGGCGCAAGCCGAAGGGUUAAAGCCGUAAGGCGCUUGGAGAUGAGCCUGCGUCCUAUUAGCUAGUUGGUAGGGUAAUGGCCUACCAAGGCUGAGAUGGGUAGCCGGCCUGAGAGGGUGAACGGCCACACUGGAACUGAGACACGGUCCAGACUCCUACGGGAGGCAGCAGUGAGGAAUUUUGCGCAAUGGGGGAAACCCUGACGCAGCGACGCCGCGUGGAGGAUGAAGGCCUUCGGGUCGUAAACUCCUGUCAGAGGUGAAGAAUGCCCGCAAGGGCUUGACGGUAACCUCAGAGGAAGCCCCGGCCAACUACGU